AGUGCCCACACCACAAAGCAAGAUGAUCUGUACCUGGCUAAUCACCGGGGAUUACACCGGACGGAAGACAGGAGUGUUUCCAGAUGCUUUACACAGCUUACCAUGCUUUCCUGAGGUUCAUUACCAACUGUAAAGCUCUGACUCACCAUUGUGCACUAUACUGCUGGAUAGGAUGGCCUGCUCUGCACACCUGUCUCCCUUGAAAAAGAAAUUCCUAUUCCAAUGAAACUUACUCCUGGUUAAAUGAAGGUGAAAUAAAUAAAUAAAUAUGGCUGAAUCUACUGCUACUACUGGAUCUACUUUACACCUCAAAGUUGCAACACUGGCCUGGAAGUGGAAAUAUAAACAUGGCUCCUGUCCGGUGGAACAUCAUCUCCGUCGUUGAUAAGGCAGAAUCUCCUCUCCAGCACACAGGCGCAGAUGAACCUCAUCUUGCUUUGCAGUGGAGGCACUGAAAUUCACAGAAAGAGAUGCUGACAUCAGACUAAAGAUGAUAAUUUUGUCUGAUUUUCUACUUAAUUAACCAUUCUUAUAUAAAUAAAAUAAAGGUG